AUGAGGGGCGCGCGGCCGUGCGCGGCGGAGCGGCGCGGGCCCCGGGGGCGCGGAGGCGGCGGCGGCGGCGGUGGCGGGAGCGGCGCGGGGCCGGCGGGCGGCAUGUGCGGGGCCGCGGGCCGGGCGCUGGGCGCGCUGCUGCUGGCCGCGUCCGUGCUGAGCGCCGCGCUGCUGGCCCCCGGCGGCUCCCCGACGCCAGACUUAGACAAAAAAAGGCCCUCAGAGCUGAAGAUGGACCAGGCUUUGCUGCUUAUCCAUAAUGAACUGCCCAGGACAAACUUGACCGUCUAUUGGAAUUUUGAUCGCUGUUACCAUUGCUCGCUCCAGGUCCUGGUCCACGUCUCUCGGAGCAGGAAACCCGGGGAGCCCAGCGUCGUGGCCGUGGCAGUGGGCACACAGCACAGGUCCAUCCUGCAGCUUAAUGACACCGAGGAGAAGGAAGUUUGUAGGCUGGAAUACAAAUUUGGAGAAUUUGGAAACUACUCUCUCUUGGUAAAGCACGCCCAUGAUGGAGUCAGUGAAGCUGCUUGUGACCUCGUCGUCAAUAAGAAGCCAGUGGACAGUGACCUCCCUGUGAGUAUCGCCUUCCUGGUCGGCCUGGUGCUCAUCAUAGUGGUGUCCUUUCUCAGGUUCCUGCUGAGCUUGGAAGACUUUCAUCAUUGGAUUUCUAAAGCAAUAAAUUCUCGGGAAACCGAUCGCCUCAUCAAUUCUGAGCUGGGGUCUCCGAGCAGGGCGGGCGACCCCCGACCAGAGGCCUGGCGUCAGUUGGCGGCCCCGCUGCGCCUCCGCUGUGUGGACACCUUCCGCGGGCUCGCCCUCAUCCUCAUGGUCUUCGUGAACUACGGGGGCGGGAAAUACUGGUACUUCAAGCACGCGAGCUGGAACGGGCUGACGGUGGCCGACCUUGUGUUCCCGUGGUUUGUGUUUAUUAUGGGAACUUCGAUUUUUCUGUCACUGACUUCCAUUCGACAGCGGGGAUGUUCAAAAUUCAGAUUGCUGGGGAAAAUCGUGUGGAGGAGUUUUCUGUUAAUCUGCAUAGGAAUUGUCAUUGUAAACCCCAAUUACUGCCUUGGGCCCCUGUCCUGGGAGAAGGCCCGCAUCCCCGGCGUGCUUCAGCGGCUCGGGGGGACCUACUUCGUGGUUGCCGUGUUAGAGAUGCUCUUCGCCAAGCCCGUGCCUGAGAUCUGCGCCUCGGAGAGAAGCUAUUUCUCUGUGCUGGACAUCACAGCCAGCUGGCCCCAGUGGCUCUUCAUCCUGAUGCUGGAAGGCGUCUGGCUGGCCUUGACCUUCUUCUUACCUGUUCCCGGAUGCCCUACCGGCUAUCUGGGCCCCGGGGGCCUCGGAGAUUGGGGCAAGCAUCCCAACUGCACGGGAGGCGCUGCCGGCUACGUUGACCGCCUGCUCCUGGGAGACCAGCACCUUUACCAGCAUCCUUCCGCAGCCGUGCUCUAUCACACCGAGGUGGCCUAUGACCCAGAAGGCAUCCUGGGGACCAUCAACUCCAUUGUGAUGGCAUAUCUAGGAGUUCAGGCAGGGAAAAUACUCCUGUAUUACAAGGAUCAGACCAAAGGCAUCCUGAUCAGAUUUGCUGCCUGGGGCUGUUUCCUUGGGCUUAUUUCUGUUGCUUUGACAAAAGCUUCUGAAAACGAAGGCUUUAUUCCAGUAAACAAAAACCUCUGGUCCGUCUCCUACGUCACCACACUCAGCUCCUUCGCCUUCUUCAUCCUGCUGGUCCUGUACCCCGUUGUGGACGUGAAGGGGCUGUGGACAGGAACCCCAUUCUUCUACCCAGGCAUGAACUCCAUCCUGGUGUAUGUGGGCCACGAGGUCUUCGCCGACUACUUCCCCUUCCGGUGGAGGCUGCGGGACGCCCAGUCCCACGCGGAGCAUCUUGUGCAGAACACAGUCGCCACCGCCCUGUGGGUGCUCAUCGCCUACAUCCUCUAUAAGAAGAAGGUGUUUUGGAAAAUCUGAGGCCCCGGCUGAGGGUUGACAGAAACUGGUGACGAACAGAAGUCCCUGAGCUGCUCUCACAGAACAGCAACAAAGGGAACAGUUUAAAAGCCCCUCCACCUGUGGCCUGCUUUCACUGAGGAAGCUCACUUUGGAACAGCUGAAGAAAUGAACCUGACCCCUGACACCAGUGUUGU